GGUGCCGUGGUCGAGUGGAUAUGUCACCGGACUGUUGAUCACAAGGCCGGCGGUUCAAUCCCGCCGCGGCACUA
rnacentral:tRNA from 1 species